UACGUAGGGGGCAAGCGUUGUCCGGAAUCAUUGGGCGUAAAGCGCGCGUAGGUGGCCCGGUAAGUCCGCUGUAAAAGUCCAGGGCUCAACCCUGGAAAGCCGGUGGAUACUGUCGGGCUCGAGUCCGGAAGAGGCGAGUGGAAUUCCUGGUGUAGCGGUGGAAUGCGCAGAUAUCAGGAGGAACACCGAUGGCGAAGGCAGCUCGCUGGGACGGUACUGACACUGAGGCGCGAAAGCCAGGGGAGCAAACGGG
rnacentral:rRNA from 1 species